rnacentral:lncRNA from 1 species
AGUGCAAAUUUUUGGGCUUUUAUUGUAUUCAAUCCCUUGAUACCUCGAAAGUGCGAAAGCAGCUGCCAUCUUCUUUCCGGGUCUCCAGUUGAUUGAAUAGGGGCAGCUGUAAUACCCCAAAAUUUACCCUUCAUUUUUCCUGGAAAAAAAAAAGUUAAAAAUAAAUAAAUAAAUAAAAUUAAUUAAAUAAAUAAAUAAAAUAUAAC